rnacentral:tRNA from 1 species
GGAAGUGUGGCUCAGUGGUAGAGCACCUGCCUAGCAUGCAUGAAGCCCUGAGUUCAAACCCCCGUGAUGCCA